CUUUCCUAACUAAGAAACCCACAACUCAUCUCUUUCUUCGAACAUCCUAGAGAAGCUCAAUGUUAGUAGCAUAGCCUCUCAUCGCCUCCUUCAUUCAAUGGACCAGCAGUAUUGAAGAGAACAGAGAGGCCUACAACUGAAGCUCAUCGCCCCCUUUCCCUUUUUGAUUGGAGCCCUAGAUUCAAAGAUUUUGUCCCAUUUCUCUGCAAAUCGAUUGGAGCCCUAGAUUUGAAGACUUAAAGAGAAACUAGCAAAGGAGGGCGUAAGAGAUGUGUUGCAAGAAGAGCGUCUGAUGGGGAUUGUUCAUCCUCCACCAAUUAAAAGGUUGGUGGGUAGACCACACAAAAAUGUGAAGAAGGCACCAGAUGAAGGACCAUCCGAAGAGUUUUAAAAAAGAUCCAAUACUAUCAGUUGUGGAAGAUAUAAGUCCACUGAGCACAAUGUAAGGACAUGUACAAGACCUCCAGUGAAUGUCAAUGAUGCAUCUUCUAGGAAGAUAGUAAGAGAAAAGAGAAAAGAAAGAAGCAGAAGCUAAUAUACCAUCAACAAUUCAUAGGUAUUGACAAGGUCA